UACGAAGGGUGCAAGCGUUACUCGGAAUUACUGGGCGUAAAGCGUGCGUAGGUGGUUUGUUAAGUCUGAUGUGAAAGCCCUGGGCUCAACCUGGGAAUUGCAUUGGAUACUGGCAGGCUAGAGUGCGGUAGAGGAUGGCGGAAUUCCCGGUGUAGCAGUGAAAUGCGUAGAGAUCGGGAGGAACAUCAGUGGCGAAGGCGGCCAUCUGGACCAGCACUGACACUGAGGCACGAAAGCGUGGGGAGCAAACAGG
rnacentral:rRNA from 1 species